AGUGAACGCUGGCGGUAGGCCUAACACAUGCAAGUCGAACGGCAGCACAGUAAGAGCUUGCUCUUACGGGUGGCGAGUGGCGGACGGGUGAGGAAUACAUCGGAAUCUACUUUUUCGUGGGGGAUAACGUAGGGAAACUUACGCUAAUACCGCAUACGACCUACGGGUGAAAGCAGGGGAUCUUCGGACCUUGCGCGAUUGAAUGAGCCGAUGUCGGAUUAGCUAGUUGGCGGGGUAAAGGCCCACCAAGGCGACGAUCCGUAGCUGGUCUGAGAGGAUGAUCAGCCACACUGGAACUGAGGCACGGUCCAGACUCCUACGGGAGGCAGCAGUGGGGAAUAUUGGACAAUGGGCGCAAGCCUGAUCCAGCCAGACCGCGUGGGUGAAGAAGGCCUUCGGGGUGUAAAGCCCUUUUGUUGGGAAAGAAAAGCAGCAGGUUAAUACCCCGCUGUUCUGACGGUACCCAAAGAAUAAGCACCGGCUAACUUCG
rnacentral:rRNA from 1 species